rnacentral:rRNA from 1 species
GACGAACGCUGGCGGCGUGCUUAACACAUGCAAGUCGAACGGAAAGGCCCCUUUGGGGGUACUCGAGUGGCGAACGGGUGAGUAACACGUGAGUAACCUGCCCUUGACUUCGGGAUAACUUCAGGAAACUGGGGCUAAUACCGGAUAGGAAUCCUUGCUGCAUGGUGGGGGUUGGAAAGCUUCGGCGGUUUUGGAUGGACUCGCGGCUUAUCAGCUUGUUGGUGGGGUAGUGGCUUACCAAGGCUUUGACGGGUAGCCGGCCUGAGAGGGCGACCGGCCACACUGGGACUGAGGGACGGCCCAGACUCCUACGGGAGGAAGAAGUGGGGAAUAUUGAACAAGGGGCGGAAGCCUGAUGAAGCAGCGCCGCGUGCGGGAUGACGGCCUUCGGGUUGUAAACCGCUUGCAGCAGGGGCGAAGCUUGUGGUGACGGUACCUGCAGAAGAAGCACCGGCUAACUACGUG